rnacentral:rRNA from 1 species
AACGAACGCUGGCGGCAUGCCUAACACAUGCAAGUCGAACGAGACCUUCGGGUCUAGUGGCGCACGGGUGCGUAACGCGUGGGAACCUGCCCUUAGGUUCGGAAUAACUCCCCGAAAGGGGUGCUAAUACCGGAUAAUGUCUUCGGACCAAAGAUUUAUCGCCUUUGGAUGGGCCCGCGUUGGAUUAGCUAGUUGGUAGGGUAAAAGCCUACCAAGGCGACGAUCCAUAGCUGGUCUGAGAGGAUGAUCAGCCACACUGGGACUGAGACACGGCCCAGACUCCUACGGGAGGAAGCAGUGGGGAAUAUUGGACAAUGGGCGAAAGCCUGAUCCAGCAAUGCCGCGUGAGUGAUGAAGGCCUUAGGGUUGUAAAGCUCUUUUACCCGGGAUGAUAAUGACCGUACCGGGAGAAUAAGCUCCGGCUAACUCCGUG